rnacentral:lncRNA from 1 species
UUUCGUCCGCAGUUUCUUGAGAUCUCUUUGAUAAAUGACAGCAAGGACAUGAAGGAAUUUUGCAGUGCACAUUCUCAAAGCCUUUAUGGCAGAUAGCAGCGGAAUGGGACUUUGAACUUUGAUAGGAAAUCUGUCAUCAAUUUGGUGCCCCAUGACUGUUAUUUUAAAGGUCGACUUCUGUGUAAUGCCCAGGAAACGUCAUUUGCAGAGGCUUGUUUAAUUAAACUUUGCAUAAGAUCUUUGAGUUUUGAACAGCAAGGGAAUAUACUGCACAGAGAAACAUGACGAAAUUUUCUGGGAGAAGAAAUAAACUUUAUACCUUGCCUUCCUUCUGCUCUUUUCUUUCUCUUCCUCCUUGAUCAGAAUCCCAGCAACCUCUUUGUUUUCUCUCUAGACUUUUCUUUCCUGCAGCAGCUUUUAUUUUUGCCUCGUUCAGACUUCUCGCCCCUUAUGUGCAGCCAUUUGGUUUCUUUCUGCUCCUGCCUCUUUUUGCCUCCGUUUUUGCCUUUUUUUCCUGCAGCACCUCCUUCCUUUUUUCUUUUUUUUUUUAACCUCUGUACGUUCAUGUCUUUUAUAGGCAAAAGAUGAAUAGCAGUUGGGAAGCACGUUUGCUAAGUGGGCGGCCUCUCUGCUGAAUGGAGUUGCAGAGGAUAAACACGAUCUCUUCCCACCUUUUAUUUUUUAUUUGUUUUAUUUUAUAUUUCUUUUGAAAACUGACCUUAUCUCCUUUUUAAAUUCUAGAAGGAAUAAUCAGCAGCCUUAAAUAUCAACCUUCAUGUCUUGGGCUUUUAUCCUGGGCCUCUUUCCUUAUCAUGUAAUUUUUUGUGAUCAACAGAGACCAAACUAAUCCUGUUGCAAACCAGUAAGGCGGUGUAAACAUGAGGAAUCAAUAUGCUGAACAAGAUGAACAAUGAGAGUCCAGUUCAAUGAUAAUGUUGAUAGAUAGGGUAGGCAAAUAGGAAUGGAAAGGAAAUCAUUUUUGGAAGUUUUUUUUUUUUUUUUUUUUUUCAGGGUUUGGGGUGUUUUGAAAUUAUGGUAAAGUGGUAAGGGUAUUUUUGGAAGUUAAUUAAGGGAAAACAAGAAUGAGAAUCGUAUUGACUACCCUUCUCUAGUUGAUCUGAUACCUAGUUUUGAGGGGAUAUAAUUACAGAUUUUGAGGUGGGGCCCACUUAUUUUUUAAUUCCAGAUUGCAAGUAAACGCAGGAGAAAUCAGGAAUGGAAAUCAUUCCCUUUCCUCUCAUACCCAUUACUAACAUGUAAACAUUAUAUCUUAAAUAAUAAAUUGAGCUUAGACCCAUAAAAUUCAUUUUGAAUCACCUACAACCCUUUCCUUUAGUUUUCUAUUUAAAAUACCCAAUUUUUUUAAAUAAUACCCGAUGACU